rnacentral:rRNA from 1 species
ACGAACGCUGGCGGCGUGCCUAACACAUGCAAGUCGAGCGAGGAGAUUCCUUCGGGAUGAUCCUAGCGGCGGACGGGUGAGUAACACGUGGGCAACCUGCCUCAUAGAGAGGAAUAGCCUUCCGAAAGGGAGAUUAAUACCUCAUAACAUUGCAGUUUCGCAUGGAACAGCAAUUAAAGGAGCAAUCCGCUAUGAGAUGGGCCCGCGGCGCAUUAGCUAGUUGGUGAGGUAACGGCUCACCAAGGCGACGAUGCGUAGCCGACCUGAGAGGGUGAUCGGCCACAUUGGGACUGAGACACGGCCCAGACUCCUACGGGAGGCAGCAGUGGGGAAUAUUGCACAAUGGGGGAAACCCUGAUGCAGCAACGCCGCGUGAGUGAUGACGGCCUUCGGGUUGUAAAGCUCUGUCUUCAGGGACGAUAAUGACGGUACCUGAGGAGGAAGCCACGGCUAACUACGUGCCAGCCGCCGC